UACCCGUUUUCAGAAUUUUUUUUUUUUUUCAUUUUAAUGAAUUGUUCAAGGACACCAUAAGCCCCAUACUAACGAAACUUUUUUGGUUUAUGUUUUCAGUUGAGCUGAUGGACUGGAAUCGUAGUAACAACAAGCCUCUUUGAAAAAAAAAACGCAUUUUGCAUAAAAUGUCAUAACUUUGACAAUUAUUAGUAUUUUUUUAUAUUCUUGAGCUGAUUUUUUUUAUCACAAGUAUUCAACGAUAAUAUGGAUACGUACCCCUACAGAAAAUAAAAAACAUAUACCUCACCUCACCAUAUAUUUAACAAUAUAUGAUCUGUGUUCAAAAAAUAACGGGAAUUUUAAAAAUUCCAAUUGUCCAGUAGCAUCUGAAGUACUUAUUAUGUAUGUAGUAGAGCUCUUGGUAUUCGAAUAAUCGACUAACCGAAUUAACCGAAUAGGGCAUUAUUCGAAUAAUAAUAGAUAUUCGGUUUGCAGUAUGCCGGUAGUCGUAAGUUGUCGACUAUUCGAUGAACCGUUCAUUUCCGACUAUCCGGUUAACCGUUCGUUGUUGAAUAUUCGUAUAAUGUCACGUCAUUAAAUUUCUAUUUUUAUCGAAAAUAUUGAAACUCAUGAAAAAUACACACAUUUGACAUUUUCACAAAUAAAAACAAACAAAAAUCAAAGGCUGCUUGGAUUUCAAACAAUUUUCAUUUAUUUAAAAACUCGCAGCAUAGCAACUAUUCGAAUAGCCGCAGGUGAACAACUAUUUAAAUAAUGGUAGUAGAACGACUAUUCGGAUAGUCACAAUGUAUGUUAUUAAUCGGUGAAUAUUCAUACGAACGGUUACAAACCGUAUAUUCGAAAAAUCGGUUAGCGGGUUAUUCGAAUAAUUUUAAGAGCCCCAGUAUGUAGCAGUCGCUACGGUUAGAAGUGUUUUUAUGAGCUUGGCGAUUUUCGUUUCUUAAAAGUUCAACCGUCAUAGUUCGUGAAUUCUAGGCCAAAGACAAAACUGUAACUAUGUUCCAGCGUCCAUAUUCGCCAAACAUGACUUCGUGUGACCUUUUCCUAUUUCCAAAAAUAAAGAACAUAUUAAAGGGUCGUCGUUUUACAAAGGUAAAAGAGAAAUCCCAAAAAUCGAGUUUGUGAAGAUUGGAAGAAGCGCUGGCAUGAGUGCAUAUUAUCGAAUGGGGACUAUUUUGAGAGCGACAACAUUGCUGUAGACGAAUGAGUAAAUAAAUUUUUUUGCAAAACUCGAAAAUUCCCUUUAGUUUUUGAACACAGAUUUUAUUUUAGGCUAUUGCAAGAGUUGCAUCAGAAAUAAUUUUAUAGAAUUCUUCAGAUCAAUUAGUUGUGUAAAAAUGCUAUUAAACUUCUAAAGCUCCCUCCUCCCCUCUUGUAUAUUUGUAUUGCAGUUAAAAAAUCACCAAUCACUUCUAUCAACUUCUCAAAAAAAUAUUAACCGUGUUAGAAACUGAAACUGUAGUUUAUACGCAAAACUCCGUAGGAACUUACGUACAAAACGUUAAUUAAUUUUCGUAAUAUUUCACUGAACUCCACUCAAAAAUGCACCUGUGUGCCUUUUCGACCCUUUUACGCAAAAACCCCACUAGCUACUUGCUAUAAAACAAAUUGACACGAUUGCUUGCGAAGCACGCCAGAAUACCCGACUUUCAAUUGAAAAGAAUACGUUGCUUAAAUGCAAUUAAUUCUUUGAAAACUUCUGCAGACCGACAGAUUUAUAAUUUAUUUAUAAUGCGUACAAAGUGGAGUUGCUACAAAAGCAUGCUUGAAAACCAGAGGGAGCUACAGGGUAGCUGACAGCAUAAAAGCUAAGAAAACGAACUGAAGAGGGAUAGUAACUGUUGCAUCCCCUAAAUGUAGCAGUUGUGAGUUGCGAUACUCACAAUUUAUGUGGAAUUAAUCUAUUUGCAGAGAAAUGCGCUCGAAAACACAUGCAACACAUGAAAAGCCACUUGAAAAGCGCGCGCAGUAAAAUUGGGGGAUAAAACAACAAACGGCAGAGAACUCCAUGUGUUAGUUGAGGAAGGGGGUAAGGAACACGGUAACGCGACACGUUACGUGCAGCGUGAAAUGUACCAUGCGUAGCGCACACAUAUCAUUAUUAAUGCAUAGCUCACCAUUGAAUUAUAUAUUUUGCGCAUUUGAGGUGGAAAAUGCAAAGCCCUAAAGUAGCAGUGCAGAGCGGUUACUCUACCCCCAGGGGGGUCAGGACAACACAUGCACAAUCAUCAUUUAUGGCAAAUGAAAACUGUUGGCUCCAACGCACAAGUGCAUCGAUAACAUGGAAAAGCAGUUGGAAAACGGUAUAAUCGUGUUAAGAGGACAAUUGGUUAUUCAUGACGGCAAACAACAACAAAAAUACAAAUAACAAACAACAACCCGUUGGCUAUAUGGGCAGCAAAGGACGUCAAUGUGUUGCUCCAGUAUAACGAAUGUUCAAUAUAACGAACGCUGUUUUUCAAUACAUUGAUGACUCUAUAUAACGAAAGCUGGAAAUUGGAUGAACUCGAUAUUACGAAUGUAUGACGUUUGUAUUUGGUUUUGGUUGUAUUAGAACAAAAAAACAAUGCAGGCAGUUAAACACCCGUCGGUUCUUGUUAUUAUUGAGCUAUUUUUUUUUUAAGAAUUCUACUUAUUUUUUUAUGGUUCAGAUUGAAGAUUCUCUUGAAAGUCGAAGUGUACCAAAGUGAGCAAUAUUACUCCUGGAUAACGCUCCUAGUCAUCCACCAGAAGAAGAUUUGGUGACUCCAGAUGGAAAAAUUUGAACAGUGUUUAUGCCACCGAAUGUAACGGCUCUAAUUCAACCGAUGGACCAGAACGCGAUUCGCCUCACCAAAUUAUUUUACCUAAAUUCUUUACUGAGCAGUGUAGUGCAAAAAGAAAAUUUAAAUACAGCGUUAAAGGACCUCACCCUUUUCAAUGCAGUUCAACUUAUUGCUGCAGCUUGGGAAAAAGUUUCAGGGGUUGUUCUUCAGAAGUGUUGGAAAAACAUUUUAAUUAAUAAAACCACACCUGACGAUAAUGAUGAUGAGGACAAUAUAACUCUAUUAGAUUUGCGAUUCAGAGAAGACCUUUCUGUUAUGGAGAGCACACUUUCUCUUAUCCAUACAAUGUUUCCCCAGACAAACUUCAACACAGAUGAUUUGGAAGAAUGGAACAGUGUAGACAAUGUACUUGUAGAAGAGAACCCGAGCGCUGAAAAUGAACUAGCUAUAGAAAUUUCGGAAGAGGCGGAAGGUGGUACCGCUGCAGUUGUAGCUGUUCCGCCAAUAAAGCAUACUGAUGCCAUCGACUGCUUUGAGAAGUGUAUCAAAUGGUCUGAAGAAAACGACGUGGAACAGGAAAAAAUAUUUUUAUUGAAAAGCCUACAUCAAAUGGCACAGGAUCUGAAUAACAAAUUUCUUUUCAGUUGAAUAAUGCUCAUAUUUUUGUUAUAAAAUUCAACUUUUAUUAAUCUUAUUGUAUGCAUUUUCCAUUGUACAUGUAUUUUCAAUAUUUCUGGAAAAAUAACCAAUGCUUAUGAAUUCAUGAAUAAAUAGUUAUUUUUAAACAUA